rnacentral:rRNA from 1 species
GACGGAGGAUGCAAGUGUUAUCCGGAAUCACUGGGCGUAAAGCGUCUGUAGGUGGUUCGAAAAGUCCACUGUUAAAAAUUGAGGCUUAACCUCAAAGAUGCCGUGGAAACUUUCAAACUAGAGUAUGGUAGGGGUAGAGGGAAUUUCCAGUGGAGCGGUGAAAUGCGUAGAUAUCAGGAGGAACACCGGUGGCGAAGGCGGUUCUCUGGGCAUUACCUGACGCUGAGGAGCGAAAGUGUGGGGAGCGAACAGG